CUGCCCUGCAGACACAACUGCCACUCAGCCAUCCCCCGCGCCACCUUCACUGAGCACCUCCCGUGUCCGAAGCACCCGGGGGCGAUGACUGUGAGAAAACAGAAGUGCCUCCGUCCUCAAGAGCUCAGUCCAGCACAGCAAGCGGGGUAUCCUCAGCACACAAAUAACCACACGUGAGAGGCUGCGAUUACUCCAUCCUGUUGCCUGUCUCACCUUCCUCUGGAAGAUCCCGGAGGCAUCGCUAGCGCCAGGGCAGGCUGCACCUGGGAGGGGCCCACAAGCACCGGGCCAGCUCCUCCCUGGGGGUGAGGCUGAGGGGCAGAUCGUUGGCCUUUUUGGAUGUUUCUUUCUUCACGAACUUCACAUUUCUAUAUGGCUCAAAAAACACCCAAUGCUUAGGAGCCUGGGAAGGACACAUUCAAGGACAUCAUGGAGCAGAAGCUGCACAGGCCAACCAGCCACAGGGCAGAAGCCGCCCAAUGGCCACAGGUGCUUCCGAGGCAGCGCGUCAGACACGGCAGCUGGGGAGAGCUGGGCCUCCUCUCGCCCCUGGCCUCCGUGAGGCUGCACCUCCUGGGCACUGGCAGAGCAUGAGCAAGGGCUUCAGAGGGGGGAGUGAGCCCCCAGCCAGGCAGGAGGCUCACGUCAGGAGGACGUAACUGAGCUGCAGAUGGUCCUCCCUUGGGAGCUCCCCCUAAAGGAGCAGCACUGUGACCGGGCACAUAACUCAGGAGCCAGACAGAACUCCCUGGAUUCCCUUGAGCUGAUUUACUGAGCAGUUUCAGAGACCUGAGCCCAAGCAGACUGCCUCCCAGGUUACAAAGGAGUCAGGACAGAGAACGAACUGUGAACUGCAGAUGAUAGCUGAGAAUUCGCAGACACCAAAGCCCAGAAGAGGCCCAAAGAAAAGGAGGGACAAAUAUUCAUUCUAACUUUAAAUAAGAUGGAAUCUGAGGCUAAGAACUUACCUCAGUCUCAAAACUUCUAGACCAAUCAUCAAGCGGGUUGCAAAACAGCAGCAAGGACGGUGAGUGGGUGUGGACUCGAGAGGCCGUGUGUCCACUCCACUUCCUUUCCACGCAACUGUGAACCUGGGUUCCGCGAAGAUGCAGAGAGAGGCCGCGUGCCUGUCCACUUCCUUCCCCACGUGACUGUGACCCUGAGUUCCAUGAAGAUGCAGACGGAAGAUGAACAAAUUCCAGCCAUUUGUUGAAUGAGGAUUGGCUAAGACUCUACUGACACAGCAGGCGCUGUAGCAGGCACCUGGAAUUCAGCGGCCAACAGUUUCAAAUCAAUGAUUAAAAAGCAAAGAAAGGCUGGCGGUUGCUCGGGUGGCUGGAGAGGCCCACGCGAGACGUGCAGCCCUGCCGUUGGGGAGGGGGCUGUGUCUGCAGCGUCACAGCCGGUCUGGUGGGUCCCUCCCAGACACCUUCCAGGUCUAAGACAAGUAAGCGGAGGUGAUCUUGUGCCCCAGUGAGAAGACCUAACUGUGCCCAUCCGUUCACCUCACAGACCCAUCGAUGGCCAACGGUGCUGGGAACAUUCUAGGAGGGUGAUGGGACAGAGGGAUGGGUGUUUGUGACACAUUCUGGGAUUUUCCUGUCCUCACCCCAGAACUCUCCUGUCUUUGUGCUAUGGUUUGAAUGUGUGUGUCCCUCCAACAUUCAAAGCCUGGAACUUAAGCACAAGGGUGAUGCUGUUAAGGGGCAGGGCCCUUUGAGACGCAGAGCCCUAGUGAAUGGAUCGGUGCUGUCAGCAGAGAGGCUGAAGGCCCCAGGGCCUUUCUGUCCUCCGCUACUGUGCGAGGGCACAGCCAUGAGGUACUGCGGAAAGCAGAGGGCAGCUGACCAGACACGAAACACGGGGCGCCUUGAUGCUGAAUUCCACCUGCAGGAAACAGGAGGUGCAGAUUUCUGUUGCUGAUAAACUACCCAGCCCAGGGCAUUUUGUUAACAGCAGCAUGAUUCCUAGUCUACCUGAGCUACAAAAUUCAAGAGAGUUUAUUUACUUGUAUGAUUUCUACACAAGGACAACUUUUAGUACUAAUGGAAAACGUGUCUGACUUGCUCUGCAAAUAUAACAUUCCAAUAAUCCCAAAAGAAGGUGCUCAAGAAUUUUAAGAAAACACUAUUGGCAGAGGUCAUUUCGGUGGAGUAAUUCCUUUUAAUUUAGACAUGUGUUCACA
rnacentral:lncRNA from 1 species